AACGCGAAGAACCUUACCUGGGCUCGAAGCGCAGUGGAUAUGGGUGGAAACAUCCCUUUCUCGCAAGAGACUGCUGCGGAGGUGCUGCAUGGCUGUCGUCAGCUCGUGUCGUGAGAUGUUGGGUUAAGUCCCGCAACGAGCGCAACCCUUAUCUUUAGUUGCCAUCAGGUCAAGCUGGGCACUCUAACGAAACCGCCCCGGAUAACGGGGAGGAAGGUGGGGAUGACGUCAAGUCCUCAUGGCCUUUAUGUCCAGGGCUACACACGUGCUACAAUGGUCGGUACAAACCGUCGCAAACCUGCGAAGGGGAGCUAAUCGGAAAAAGCCGGCCUCAGUUCGGAUUGGAGUCUGCAACUCGACUCCAUGAAGCUGGAAUCGCUAGUAAUCGCAGAUCAGAACGCUGCGGUGAAUACGUUCCCGGGCCUUGUACACACCGGAGUGC
rnacentral:rRNA from 1 species